rnacentral:lncRNA from 1 species
UCAAUACGCACCUCAUAGACCCCUUAAGGGCUGUCAAGUACCAGAUUAGCAGUCGUUUCUUCCCCGGAAGGUAUCAGAAUCAGAGGUUCCUACUACUCCUUUUUUUUUUGUCUUUCCAUGCCCCUUGGCAGUCCUCAUUCCAUCUGACCAUUUGAUUUCUUUCUUUUUUCGUUUGUUUAUGGUUCAGGCGUUUCUAGUACUGUUCCUUUUUUUUUUUUUUUUUUUUUUAUGCUAGAUCAACCUUGAUUCCUCUUUCGUUCGCAACAUGCCUCGGCAGCUUGCUGGACAGCACUCCAUAAGUGCGCUAAUUCGAACUCAACAGUAUGAGUUAUCUCUACCUGUCAAACAACUUGAUCCAUCGGAUGCCCCUCUUCUGCUUGGGACUUUGCCAUCAUGUCAUCAACAUGGCAUUUGCUUUCACGAUGAAUCAUAUCAUGAAACAAAGUCACCCUAGACUUCUGAUACUUGGCACCGGCCUUCUCGAUACUGAACGACAUCACCUUAUAACCAGAAGGUGCCCCUUGUGUGAUGGACAUGGUUUACGUCAUAUCAUCUGGCAACAGUUCAAUCUGGUCUCGGCCAAGAAGCCAUCCAUGAAGAUAAACUGAG